UAAUUUAACGUCUUUUUUCCGUAUGCUGCUUACCAUUCAUCUUCUAUUUAUAUAUUCCCUAACAAAGCCCCAUAUUUAUUGAUAUGUAUGAACAAUUUCAUUAAUUGUUCUACUCUACUCCUGUACGUUUCUUUACUAUUCUUUGUGGUGAUGAUCACAUCAGUGUUAAAAUAUAUAAAACACAAGAAUCAAUGGUAUAUUUUGUUUUCCAAUACUUUUUUUUUGGGAAGUGUAUAAAUAGUCGUAUGUAAACUACUAUCGUGUUUUAGUAAAUUCUCUAAAUAUGAUAAGCACAAUCAAUCAACUCAAGCUAACGCCAAAAAAUCUAAGAUAUUACACUAUUAUUAGGUAUAAUAAUAGAUUUCAUCAGUAUCUGUAGGCAUCUUUAGCCUGAAAUCAAUUUAUUUGCAACAUUUGAAGAUCAUUUUCAAAUAUAUUAAAAAGUUAAAUAUGAUUUUUCUGUUACAGAGUUGCACCUUUUAUAUUGCUUUCAUGUUACAAAAAGUUACACGAAUAUGUAUUUACCCUAAAUUAUAUACAUAUAUUAUAUCGUCACGAUAUUUCUGCUUAUGACAAAGAAAUCGUUUGGAAAUUAAAAAUUUCGUUAACCUUAUUACAAAUGCCGUAUGAUAUCAUAUACUCAAUAAUAAGAUAAAGAUUUUUUUAAACAUAUAUUGACAAAUGACGAAUAGGAAAAGAUAGUAUUAUUUUUUAAGUCUCUUUUGAUAAACCGUAACGGUCAUAUAUUAUGGCUUUAUUUCAUUUUCUCCCACAUUUUUUUUUAGAAAAUUCAGUCAAGCCAUCUUUAAUUCGGCUUUUUUAUUUAACAAUAUUGAAAAAUUGUUAUGAAACAAUUCGUUAUUUAAUUCCAUAGUUGUCUUAUCAUUUUAUUUUUAUAUGUUACUAUUUUACUUUUUUUUAAUUAUUUCAAUUUAAUAGAGUGGAAAAAUAAUAUAAUAGUUCAUAUAUUUCAUAUUUGAAACGAAAUAUUUAUAAUUAGAAUUAGAAUAGAAUAAUUUAAUAAUUUUCAAAAUUUUUUUUAUAUAGGUUCAUAUUUAUUAGAUUUACUUUAUAUAUUUAUAUAAGUUUGUAUAACUUGUAUAUUUAUAUUUAGUUUGUGUUAUUUGCAAUAUUAGAUAAAAAAAUAGUAAAAGAAGACUACUAAAGUAAUAUUUCCGGCAAAAAUAAGGAGCAAUAUGUGUAUAAAGUUGUCUAUCACUACGUGUCGUUAUCAUUGUUGAGGUGGGGCUUCGAUAUCGAUGAGGGUACUCAGAACAAGAUUUUUCUAUCAGUUAGCUCAGGUAUAUAUAAAGCUCACCACGUAGUCGACUGUUUAUUAGUGUUCUGAUUACAUUUUUUUAUAUAGGAGGUUUUCUAACGUUCGUAUCGUACCGUAUAUGCACAAAGCAUCUUUGCGGUUUUAUGUGAGUGGAACGUUUAAAGAGUGAUAAAGAUCUUUAGUAUUUGCCCACAAAAUAAUUGCGAUUGGUUCUUCUGGGAAGCUCCCAAGUGUCGGUGAAAUUAACCAGUGAUAUUUUGAAAUAAUUCUUUGGUAGUAGUUCUUGACUUUAGUUUUGUUACAUUUUGUUACUACGGGGGUCAGAUUCAUAAUAUAUGAUUUUACAUAUCGAUUUGAAUUGGAAUAUGUUGAUAAAAUUGUGAUCCUACAUAAGUAAGUAUUUUAAUUUUCAAAUUAAUGCGAUCGAUUUAAAAUUAAUCGGAAGAUAAAUAUGUUAAAAUUUGAUUUGAAUAAAACAUAGUACAAUUGCAAUACAUAUUUCGUAGCAGAAACAAUGUAAGUUUAUUCCAUUAACAAAUAUAUUAGUAUUUAAUUGUUUUUACUUAUUUACAAAUUUUUAUCCUAUCUUGCGUACACUGUGUUAUUUAUAGUUCUAUUUAACGUUUCACAUAUUACUGUAUUAAAAAAAUGUUUUUCUAUCAAAAUUCAAAUACGCAAUCGAUAUUUGGUGAAUAAAAAGAGGUUUUUUUCCAGUAGAGAUUACAAAUUUACCGAAAUCUCUUGAAAGAUUUCUAGGUGAGCUGGCAAAAAGAAGUUGAUUUCCUUCGUUGAUACUGCAUGGGCGUUGCAUGGGCUGUGAUCUGCAUGACUUGCAGUUGGAAGUGAGGAUCUAGGCAGUGAGCAGCAGCGCUCUGAUAACUUGCCAGAUCUAACUCUUCCAGCUCAAGGUCUUGUUGAUUAUCAUCUUUUCGUAAGAAAUGGAUAUUUCUCGUCAUAUCAAAAUCGAUAUCCAAAUCGAAAUUCAAACGAAGCAUCAGAAUUGAAUAAUAUAUAGAAGAUAGGGGUUCAUGGUUCAAGUGGAGAAGUGGUCUCUACGCUUUGAAUUAAAGUGAGAUUCAACUCCUCCAACUUAAUCCUGAUCCCUGAAGUUCCUCGUUUCUUUAUUCGUGUCUUCUUUAUCUGCAGAAUAUCUUUUCACUACAGAUGUAUCAGUAACGUAAGUGAAGAUAAGUGAAGCUUUCGUGGAAUCAUUCUAUUGGCGCUUCUUAAUACCUUGCUGGACAGGCAUGUUGCAAUAGCGAUAAAAUCUUUUAAAACGGUUCUUAUCGUGAAAGCGUUUAACUGCGUAUAAUUGUUCGUGCGAUUCAAUUUAGUCGAUAAUAUUCUUUGUGCGUUAUAAAUAUACUUUCUUUACGAAUAUUGUUUUUUCAGUUUUAUUUGUCGUGCUAUUUUAAGCGGUCAAAACACUUGUAUCUCUUUGUAUUUUUCAAAUAAAUCGAAUUUUUAUAAACUGCAUUAUUUGAAACUUGAAAUAAAUAUUUCUUAUGAUAUUCA